rnacentral:rRNA from 1 species
AUUGAACGCUGGCGGCAGGCCUAACACAUGCAAGUCGAACGAGUGGCGGACGGGUGAGUAAUGUCUGGGCAACUGCCCGAUGGAGGGGGAUAACUACUGGAAACGGUAGCUAAUACCGCAUACCAUCGGAUGUGCCCAGCUUGGCUUGGCUAGUAGGUGGGGUAACGGCUCACCUAGGCGACGAUCCCUAGCUGGUCUGAGAGGAUGACCAGCCACACUGGAAAUGCGACAAGUUCCAGACUCCUACGGUAGGCAGCGGUGGUGAAUAUUGCACGAUUGGCGCAGGCCUGAUGCAGCCAUGCCGCUAGUAGGAAGAAGGCCAUCGGGUUAUAAAGUACUUUCAGCGAGGGGGCGUUACUCGCAGAAGAAGCACCGGCUAACUCCGUGGCAGCAGCCGCGGUAAUAC